GCAAACAGGCAAUUCAGAAAAGGCCCCAAACUGGCCACGCGUUGAGUGGGAUGAGAUCUUUGUUCCCACACCCCACUGGCCUGUCAAAUUGUCAAUUUGGCAGAAAUUUUUAAAAACGCAAACAAAACCCAGUACCACCUGUGAGAAUGUAAACUGCACUGAUAUGCCAUGGGCGAUUUUGCAGUUCUACCCAAAACCAGUGUGCGUAGGCUGACCAGUUACCCUGGGCACAGCCGUUGGUAUCAAUAGCUCCAGCAAUCUUCUGUCCAGGAAUUUGCCCUAGGGGGAAAGGCUAUGCAAAGGGCCGACUCCAGAACGUGUGCCGCGGUAUAAUUCAUGAUCUCCAAGCACUGGAAGCAACUUAAAUCUCCCAAACCAGAGGAUGUGUUCAAGUAUGGGACAUCUGUACAAUGGAAGAAUCGCAACUACAAUGGUGAUUCUUGAACCUGAACCACAAAGCCCAGAGAGAACAAUGCCUAGGCAUCCCACAUUACUGCUCAGAAAAAUCGUUGCCAUGCAGGAAGCAGUGUGAACGCUCAGUCGCGCGGGUGUCCAGUCUCAACCCCUCUGCCGUUGAAGCCACUUCUUACUCUGCGCUGUGUGGAGCCAGUUAGCCGCUACCAUCCUUCAGGAAAUGGCUCCUCGAGUCGGGAAUAACCCCUUGGCCUUUCCUUCCUUAUGCCGCCUCCUUCUCAUUUCGUUCCAGAUUUCUAUUUUUAUCCCUUUGAAUCUUUCGCAUUGUUUUCCUCCUGGUUAUCUGCUCCUUUUCCACAAAUGACACCCCCCCCGCAGGAGCACCCCGUGGUCAGGCCAGGUCCUACACCAGCUGCCCUGGCUUCCACCAGGCAUGUCCCUGUCCCGGCUCCUCCACACCUGCCUCUGGUAAGCUGCAGCUCCCUGCGACCCUUCCCAGGCACUUGCCAAGUGACUCUUGAUUUCGCUCCCAUUAAUUCCCAAGUUCCCGGAGGGAGUUAGGGAACUAGAUUUGCCCUAGCCCUGUUGCCUGGGUACAGUGUUUGUUAUACCAAAACUAAAAUUGCAAAUGUUUUCAACCAGCAAUUAGCAUCUUUAAUCAUACUCUGUCUGUGAUGGUUAGUUUGGGGUGUCAACUGGACUAAGGAACACCUAGGAAAGGCAUUACUGGGUGUGUCCACUGGGGUGUUUUCAGAAGAGAUUAACAUGGGAGUCUGGGCAGACUAGAUGUGGAAGACCCACCCUCAUGAUCCAGCCAACAGGGACCCAGAAGACAGGUCUCUCUGAAAUGGAGCAAGGCAGAUGUGUCCUGCAGCCUCGGACAUCAGAACUCAAGGCUCGUCUGCUUUCAGACUCCAGGGUUCACACCAGUGGCCCCGGGUUCUCAAGCUUUCAGCCCUGGACUGAGAGUUCCAUCAUGUCUGUCCUGCCUUCAGGUUUGGACAGAACCCCUCUACCAGCAUCCCAGGGUCUCCAGCUUGCAGACAGCCUGUUGUGGGGCUUCUCAGCUGCCACAAUCCCAGGACUGAGUCCCCCA